ensembl:lincRNA
UAAUUGUUAAUGUUUCCUGGAAAGAGUUUCAAGUACUUACUAAAGAGAACAGUUGUCUCACUAGGUGGCAGGACACAAUUUUCCUCAAAUGCUCAAGUCAAAUGGCUCUCAUCCAGUCCCCUGUGAAUAUUGGAGCUCAAGCCCAUCAACUGACUAUGGAUACCACUCCACCCUGAGCUUUUGGUUACUUUUAACUGAGGUGAUGAGCCUAGAAGGGAAAUGGGCCAUCUCCACUUCCCACCUUGAGUCAGUGUGAAGGCUUUAUUUUUCUUUCAUCUGAGAAGAGCAACACCAAUAACAUUUUAGAACAGGAGCUGUAUGUCCUAAGGAGAGGAAAUUUUCUUGUUAUGUCUUUGUGAAUCAGUAUUGUACAAUGAGAUAUGUUUUAGGAAAAGAGGCAUUUAUUUACUAUUUUUGGAGCUUCGUUUAUUAUUUUUGUUUGAAAUGUUUAUUGUGAAAUAUACAAUUCCAUUAGUAGUAAAUUUCUAUGCAAUUUUACUCCUCUAACAUUUUAAGUGUAACCCUAAAACUUUAAAGUUAAUUCCCACAGCUCUUACCUCUUCUCAUUACUGUUAGUCUCUUUAAGUCCAUUUCUGUUCAUAAAUAUUUAUAAUACCUGGUCUGAUAUGGAAGUUAGAUUAAAUAUGAAUCCAAAGAAUUGCGCAUGUCCCUAUGGCUUUAAAAAAAGGAGCAGUGCUAUUCCUGUCCAGGGUUUAUUGAUAUUCUUUUUAUCUAUGGCUGCUCCUAUUUUAAUUUUUAGCCUGUGCUUAAUUUAUAAGUAGUUUCCUCUGAUAGAUACUGGGAACUUCCGAUUUAGAGUUGAUUUCCAGUUAGUUUGAACCCUACCUGCUCGCAGUUAGUUGAUUUGUUAUGACCAGGGCUCUGUGGUGUCCUUUUCAAGGACCAGGGUCCAGAGGGUUCCAAGGUCUUAUGUGGCAUCUGGUUAAUAAAAUCCUCUGUGACUCUGAUAAGGGACCUGACUGUGACAAAGAGAGUGACAUGGCAGAUGUGGACGUGGAAGUUUUCUUAUUCUGCACAGAUCAUUCAAGCCAGAAAAAGCCCUGAUCGUUUUCUGGUCCUUAGCAGAUUCACGACCUCAUUCAGUUCCGGUGAGGAAUAGCAGCUACAUCCCAACUGAGAACACAGAGAAGAUAAAGGACCCAGAGUGCCUACAUCUACAGACAGACACAUUGGCAUGUGGUGACAGCAGGUUAUCCUCGUGGCUUCCCUUCACACCCCAGCUGUCCUCAGGACUCAGUAGAAGGGAGAUUUUGGGCACUGACACUGCUAUUUUGAAACCUGGAGCAGGGGAAGGUGCCAGGGACUGUCACCUGGUGCAUGGGGUGCAGCUUGUAUUGGUGUUGGUGUUUUUGUCCAUCAUAUUAACGUGUUUUGAAACUUUUCUUCCUUCUGCUCUGGAGGUCAAUGUGGCUUCAGGAAGACCCCUUUCUCAGGAUUGCCCUACUUGCUCUAUGGCCUGGCUGGCCCUUCAGGACCAUUCAUGGGCUGCCAGACACCUCCUCUUCCUGGGUGGCCUCUGGGACCUCAACCACUGCCUCCAUGCACACCACUUGGUAUGUUGAUCUGAACAGUAUGGACUGACUUUUAAGGUGGAUUCAUCUUUUUUUACUCAUUGAGUGAAUAGAAAGAAAUAUCACAGAUGGUACUGAGGAAGGAGACCCUGGCAUCUGGGAUUCCCUCCCCCUCUGUCAUCCACUGUGCAUCUCAAUAGAAGAGAGAGCAGGCCAGCUGGUGCCUCCUGAAUCUCCUUCCUGAAAACAACACGCUUGGUCUUGGGGAAACUCUCUGGAAGGCACUAUUUUCACUUAAAACGAGAUCAAACCAGAAACCUUUUCACAUGUGAGUCCUAAAACUGUAAACCGGAACCCUUUCAUAUGUGAUUUCUAAAGCUAUAAACCUAAGAUUCUUCCACGUGUAACAUCUAAAGUAUAAACCUGUAUAAAGGUAGAACCUUCCUUUGUUAGAGGAGCUGGGCUUUGGACUAAUUAUGCCCAGGCUCCCGGCCAAACAAUAAACCUUUUCCUCCUUUA